UAAGGCCGUCAAGAUUGUACGACAUAUACGUGUAUACGCACGCACUAAUUUUAAGUCUUUAAGACGUGCCGGAUACGACUGUCAGUAUUAUAAUCUGUGUUAUUAGUGGUUAUAACGUGGAGUAAGUGAAAAGUUUGGGCCUUUGAAAUUACCGAUUCUUUGACGUAAAUGAAUACAGUAGCGAGACGCAUUCGCACAGUGGCGUCAUGGCGGCCAUUUUUCUGGCCAGGAAAUGACGUCAUCAUUUCUAAUGACGCGGACGACACAAGCCUUACGUCCGGUUUUGUUGACUCGAGAUCCGAUGAGACUACGGAGGGCAGCGAGGCGCCGUCGACGCUGGACCGCGCUUCCGGUAUGGGAACAUCCUUCCGGCGCCAACAGCCCGAGUUUGUCAUUCUACACUACAG